rnacentral:lncRNA from 1 species
GCCACAGAGCCGAAGGCGAGAAGAACAGGAACGAUCCGUGCGGUAGCGGAGAAAGUCAUGGCCGUUGAUGAGGUGAAUGACCGUAUCUGAACAAUGCCUUGAUUAGAAAACCGACCGACAUUCGUUUUUUUUAUAUAUUUGGAAUGUGCAGGUAGAAAAGAUGAGGGAAAAGAUGGUUAACGAUGCUGAAAGAUUUGCAAAGGAAGAAAAGGAGAGAAGGAAUUCAAUAUACGCUAAGAAACAUGCUGAUUCCGUUGUUUACAAAACAGAAAAUCAGUUGAAGAAUGCUGGACAAAAUGUACCGCCCUCUACGAAAGACAAGAUAGAGGCCAAGCUUGGGGAGCUUAAAGAUGCCACAUCCAAUGGCAUAGCAGAACCCAUCAAAGAUGCAAUAACUGCAGUCAACAAAGAGGUUAUGCAAAUAAGUGACCUGUUAUCGUUAUCUUCGUCAUCAGCAACAGCAGCAGCAGAAAUUAAAGUUACGGCCAAAAAUAUGCAUGUGUCUGUUUUCAAAGCUCGAAGAGUACUGGAGCAGAUUCGAGGACGUACCUACGAGGAUGCACUGAUGAUACUCGAACUCAUGCCUUAUCGAGCAUCUUAUCCGAUAUUAAAAUUGGUUUACUCUGCA